rnacentral:rRNA from 1 species
AGUCGUAACAAGGUUUCUGUAGGUGAACCUGCGGAAGGAUCAUUAGCGAAGUCAAGUUCUGUCCCAGUAGGAUUGUAGCUGGCCGGCGACGGCAAGUGCUCGUUCGAAAGGCUGGAACCUUCACUACCACACCCCACUGUGAACCAAGCGGGAGGUCGAAAGGCCUCUUGCAAAUAUACCAUAUACCCCAAAAGCAUGUCUUAGAAUGCCAUGGCGUUAAUUCGCAAAUAUGCAACUUUCAACAACGGAUCUCUUGGCUCUCGCAUCGAUGAAGAACGCAGCGAAAUGCGAUAAGUAAUGUGAAUUGCAGAAUUCAGUGAAUCAUCGAAUCUUUGAACGCACCUUGCACCCCUUGGCAUUCCGAGGGGUACGCCUGUUUGAGUGUCGUGAACUCCUCCACCUCUGGUUUUCCAAAGGCUGGGAUUUGGGUGUUGCGGGUCCCUGGCAGACCCGCUCGCCUUAAAUGAAUUAGCGAAGCCCUUGCGGCCUAGGCGGUGAUAAUUAUCUACGCCUUUGGCUUAGCGACUUUGAAGGGACUUGCUCACAACCGUUCGCCUGCGAACAAAUCAUACGACUUGACCUCAGAUCAGGUGGGACUACCCGCUGAACUUAAGCAUAUCAUAAAAGUCG